AACGAACGCUGACGGCGUGCCUAACACAUGCAAGUCGAACGAGAAAGUCCCGGCUUGCCGGGAUGAGUAGAGUGGCGCACGGGUGAGUAACGCGUGGGUAAUCUGCCUUUAAGCUUGGGAUAACACUGCGAAAGCGGUGCUAAUACCGGAUAUGCUCACAGUUUGAAAUGUCUGUGGGGAAAGGUGGCCUCUGACAUAAGAUACCACUUAAAGAUGAGCCCGCGUACCAUUAGCUUGUUGGUGGGGUAAUGGCCUACCAAGGCUACGAUGGUUAGCUGGCCUGAGAGGGCGGCCAGCCACACUGGAACUGAGACACGGUCCAGACUCCUACGGGAGGCAGCAGUGGGGAAUAUUGCGCAAUGGGGGAAACCCUGACGCAGCGACGCCGUGUGAGUGAUGAAGGCUUUCGGGUCGUAAAGCUCUGUCGGAUGGGACGAAUAAUGACUGUGUGAAUAAUGCAGUCAGAUGACGGUACCGUCGAAGGAAGCACCGGCUAACUCCGUGCCAGCCGCCGCGGUAA
rnacentral:rRNA from 1 species